rnacentral:rRNA from 1 species
UACGGAGGGGGCUAGCGUUUGUUCGGAAUUACUGGGCGUAAAGCGCGCGUAGGCGGACCUGCAAGUCGGGGGGUGAAAGCCCGAGGCUCAACCUCGGAACUGCCUUCGAUACUGCGGGUCUCGAGUCCGGGAGAGGUGAGUGGAAUUCCUAGUGUAGAGGUGAAAUUCGUAGAUAUUAGGAAGAACACCAAGUGGCGAAAGGCGGCUCACUGGCCCGGUACUGACGCUGAGGCGCGAAAAGCGUGGGGAGCAAACAGG